GUGAAUGUAGCUUAGUGGUAGAGUGCUUGCCUUGCAAGCAUGAGGCCCUGGGUUUGAUUCCUCAGUACCACA
rnacentral:tRNA from 1 species